UACGAAGGGGGCUAGCGUUGCUCGGAAUCACUGGGCGUAAAGCGCACGUAGGCGGCUUCUUAAGUCAGGGGUGAAAUCCUGGGGCUCAACCCCAGAACUGCCCUUGAUACUGAGGAGCUUGAGUCUGGGAGAGGUGAGUGGAACUCCGGGUGUAGAGGUGAAAUUCGUAGAUAUUCGGAAGAACACCAGUGGCGAAGGCGGCCCACUGGCCGGGUACUGACGCUGAGACGCGAAAGCGUGGGGAGCAAACAGG
rnacentral:rRNA from 1 species